GACGAACCGUGCGAACGUUAUUCGGAAUCACUGGGCUUAAAGCGCGUGUAGGCGGAUGAGCACGUCUGUCGCUGAAAUUCCCCCGGCUCAACCGGGGAACGGGCGUGGAUACGGCUUGUCUGGAGGGGCGUAGGGGGACCUGGAACUUCCGGUGGAGCGGUGAAAUGCGUUGAGAUCGGAAGGAACGCCCGUGGCGAAAGCGGCGCACUGGACCACAUCUGACGCUGAGGCGCGAAAGCUAGGGGAGCAAACAGG
rnacentral:rRNA from 1 species